rnacentral:rRNA from 1 species
UACGUAGGGGGCUAGCGUUGUCCGGAAUCAUUGGGCGUAAAGCGCGUGUAGGCGGCCCGGUAAGUCCGCUGUGAAAGUCGGGGGCUCAACCCUCGGAUGCCGGUGGAUACUGUCGGGCUCGAGUACGGAAGAGGCGAGUGGGAUUCCUGGUGUAGCGGUGAAAUGCGCAGAUAUCAGGAGGAACACCAAUUGCGAAGGCAGCUCGCUGGGACGUAACUGACGCUGAGACGCGAAAGCGUGGGGAGCAAACAGG